rnacentral:rRNA from 1 species
GGUCAGCAUCAAUUUUGGUCGGUGGAUAAAGGCUUCGGGAAUGUGGCUCUCUCCGGGGAGUGUUAUAGCCCGCUGCGUAAUACCCUGUGGCGGACUGAGGUUCGCGCAUUCGCAAGGAUGCUGGCGUAAUGGUCAUCAGUGA